rnacentral:rRNA from 1 species
GGUACUUGUACCGACUGGAUGAGCAGCGAACGGGUGAGUAACGCGUGGGGAAUCUGCCUUUGAGCGGGGGACAACAUUUGGAAACGAAUGCUAAUACCGCAUAAAAACUUUAAACACAAGUUUUAAGUUUGAAAGAUGCAAUUGCAUCACUCAAAGAUGAUCCCGCGUUGUAUUAGCUAGUUGGUGAGGUAAAGGCUCACCAAGGCGAUGAUACAUAGCCGACCUGAGAGGGUGAUCGGCCACAUUGGGACUGAGACACGGCCCAAACUCCUACGGGAGGCAGCAGUAGGGAAUCUUCGGCAAUGGACGAAAGUCUGACCGAGCAACGCCGCGUGAGUGAAGAAGGUUUUCGGAUCGUAAAACUCUGUUGGUAGAGAAGAACGUUGGUGAGAGUGGAAAGCUCAUCAAGUGACGGUAACUACCCAGAAAGGGACGGCUAACUACGUGCCAGCAGCCGCGGUAAUACGUAGGUCCCGAGCGUUGUCCGGAUUUAUUGGGCGUAAAGCGAGCGCAGGUGGUUUAUUAAGUCUGGUGUAAAAGGCAGUGGCUCAACCAUUGUAUGCAUUGGAAACUGGUAGACUUGAGUGCAGGAGAGGAGAGUGGAAUUCCAUGGGUAGCGGGGG